rfam:Gossypium raimondii chromosome 8, whole genome shotgun sequence.
AAACCAUGGUAUGGACACUUGCCCAACAUCAAUUUGAAGUGCUCCCAAGCCUCCUAUAAUGACUCUCCUUCCAAUUGUCGAAAAUUUGUAAUGUUUAUUCGAAGUUU